UGAAAUGCUAAGAAAGAGAGUAGUACGUUUUUAACCACCAUUCAGGGAGAAGGUGCCUUAGACUGAAAGCAUCUUUAUGGAAGGAAAAGCCGAAUUCGCUCUGGAGCAGGCACUGGACCACAAGUCUUUCUUGUGAAGGUGAUCCCGGUUUCGACCGUUAGAGCAAUGAAGAUAAUGGAGGGAGAAAUCCCUUCAUUAAUAAGGGUGGUACCACGAGUCUUCGUCCCUUUU
rnacentral:ncRNA from 1 species